rnacentral:lncRNA from 1 species
AUGAGGAGAGGCUGGCAGUGCUGCCUAGUAACCAGAGAGGUGUGUGCCAGCAUCCCCAGAUGCCUGGACCAGAAGAACCACGUCCGUCAGCAAUCUGGAGAAGAAGAAUUCACAUUUAAAGUUUGGAAAGUGGCAGAAAAAAAAGGUCUGUGUUUCAUGAUGCAUAGACGCCCUUGUGGUUGAAUUUUAAAUAUAUUUUUUUUCUUUUCUUCUCUAACUUCUUAACUGAAAAGCUGGUACUCAGGGAACAAGGGUGGUCAAGGGUCUUGGGGUUCAGCAGCCCCCUCCCAGCUUUGGGGGCUUGUGGGAGACCCACUCUCUUUGUCACAGCCUGGGCAAAGCCUUGAUGUGGGGGAGAUUGGGUUUCUUCGCCAAAUUAAGGGGUUACACUUAUUAAUGUCUGAGGAGUGCUUGGAAAUGAAAGAUGAGCUAAAAUAUGCCCCGAAGCCCCUGAUUCCUCUCCAACAUAAAAGGAAUCUCUUCCUGCUUGACCUCAAGUGCUUAAAAAAAGCAUCAUGUGAUUCGACACUUAACUCCUUGGGUCACGUAGGAGGGACUUUGUAAACUUUUUCUGUUAUUUUAUGAAAUACAUUCAGUUGGGGGCUAAAUUUCAAGUCAUCCAGGGUCGUGCAUGUCAGUGGGUAAGCCCAAAACACUGUCUUGCUGCUCUUUUUACAUCUCGCUCUUUGCACUUUUAACAAUCGUUAUUCUGGAAGUCUUUGGAACAAGACCAAUGAGCUGAUCCUUUGCUAAUCAUCAGUGUUUUCAGGGUCAGAAAAAGCCUUAUACUUUAUUUUCACAGAGUUUUACCAGUGAUUUGAUAUGACUUUUCUUCAGGUUUGUGGUGGAAUUUGAUGUCUCCAUUUUGUAUUCUAACAUCCAAUAGAAAAAUAGAUAUUAGGAAAUACUGAAGCGUUUUGGGGGGGCCUCAAAAUGGCAUUUCAGAUCUGGGAUUUAGUGAAAUUAAGCAGCUCAGAUGGAUAAACAAUUAUUCUUCAUUUCUUUAAGGCACAGAAAUUGAGACUAGGUUACAGCAACUUCAUUGUUUUCAUGGAAAAUAUUGACUACAUGAGGAAUGGAGUCUCAUACCUUGUAAAUACUUUUGUCCAUUUAGAGUGAUGAGAAGCUCCACAUUAAAAUGAGAUGGGAUGAAAAGAAGAAAUAAGAAGCAAGUUAGUGUGCC